rnacentral:rRNA from 1 species
CGUGAACCAUUGAGUUUUUGAACGCAAGUUGCGCCCGGGCUAUUUGGCUGGGGGCACGUUUGCCUGGGCAUCAAC